rnacentral:lncRNA from 1 species
GUUCUUUCGCAGCGUUUGAGCGACUGAGUUCUCGAGCGAUGCGGCAGAAGUAUUACAUUGAAGCGGCUGCUCGGGGCCUGGUGGGAAGCUGCCCGGGCCAGGCUCGGUACCUCCUGUAAGAGAGGGGCGGAGGACGGGCGGACGGGCGGGCGGGCGGCCACGGUGCCCUGGCCUCACCCCCGCUUUUCUUUUGCAGAUGGGCCUACAGUUCGACACACGAGGAUAACAGCACUUUCCAGGAAACAUGUCCACACUGCUUCCAAUUGUUGGUUCUGGAUAACUCUAGAGUGCGCCUCAAACCUAAAGCCAAAUUGACACCAAAGAUACAGAAACUUCUUAAUCGGGAAGCAAGAAAUGAUACACUCAGUUUUAAAGAAGCAAAACUGUUGAGAAAGUAUAAAGACUCUACAAGUGUGCUGCUGAUUACCUGUAGAACAUGCAACAGAACAGUGAGACACCAUGGUAAGAGUAGAAGCUUUCUGUGGGCUCUGAAGAGCAACGCCGCCACUGCUGCCAACAAGGCCAGCCCGAAGACGCCAAAGAGAACGGCUCCAGGCUCUGCAAACCUCGGUCAGAGUACAAAUGGUUCCAAAGGCAAGAGUCCCUCCUUGACCAUCAGAACACCUACAUCUGGACAGUCAACACCCAUUUGCUCCUCAAGGAAUGGGAGCAAAAGAAAAAAACACUUCUCUCAACUAAAAGCACUGCUUAGUCAGAGUGCAUCUGACAAGAACCCAAAGCUGGACUUCAGGCACUUCUUAUCUUCUCUAUGAAGAGAAUGGCCUCUGAAAGAAAGAACUGUCUAGUGCAGCUUUUGUCCUCACUUUGAUGUCUGAGCACAUGGAAACCAAGUCAAAAGCAAGCUGUUCUCGUCACCCUUCAGUGCUGUGGGAAGUGCCUCAUUAAACCAAGCCUCCUCGGCCUCCCUGGUGAAUGUGAAGACCAAAAAGUAAAGGACCAAAGGGAAAGGUACUGCUGCAGCCACGCCUACAGCUCUAUCUUAUCUCCAGGACCAACGGAGCAGAAGGAACCCCAGCCUACAGGUUGUUCUCUGAGCUCCACAUGAGUGCCCGCCCUGCAGCAGAUGAAUAAAUGUAAUAAACGGCUUUGAAAACU